AGUUCUAUGCUACUGGAGCUAUGUCCAAGCAGUAUUGCCAUUUACACAGGCAGAAAAUGAGCAAGUUUUCUAAGGAACUUCCUUUCUAUUUUUCAGCAUACAGAGGAAAUAGAGAUGUGUUUGGUGUUCCUAAUCAUCAGUGAUGUGCUAUGUAGAGGUCCACUUCUGGAUCUCUACAUGGACUUCUGUGCCCCGUGAAAUACAAGCAGAGAAAAAAAGAAAAAAAUUCUUCAAUUCCUUGUUUAAAAAGCUGAACAUUCGUGAAAGCAGCUGGUCCCAGAGGUGGAACAUUCCAAAACCCCGUUUGGAGCCAAGUGAGUACGUUAUGGAGUCAGUCGUGACACCACUUUAUAGAGAACAGACAAUGAGUUUUGGAUCUUGUAAGUACCUUUUAUCCCUGCAAAUAAGUUCCCUUCCCCCAUUCUUUUGGAAACAUCUCAGUCUGUAUUGGAAACAGAGGAUGUAAUUUAUUUUUAUCGCCUUCCCUGUCAAACUGGCCAACUGCCACAGGGUUCUGCUUUCAAAUGUAGCAAGAGGCAGGAGAAUCACAGUGACAAACCAUUCAUUUCAGUGGCUCCUCCUGUUUCCUUAUCUUAUUUAGAGGCUACCUACUGUGCUCCCUUAUCACUCUAAUUCUGCAAAACUUCUCUGCAACUUGACCCUUCCACAGAAAAAGCUGACCUGCUUAGACCUCCCUGCUUCUCUACUCCUGUUCCCUUUCUCACAGAGCAAGUUGCUCCUUCCUUUGUUACUUUAGAACUCCUUUUUCAAUUCCUAUCUUAGUCCCUCUCUCCUCCUUUUCCUAGUUCAUUAUAUUGCAUUACAUUUCCUAGCUGAAUGCACAUACAACUGUG
rnacentral:lncRNA from 14 species